rnacentral:rRNA from 1 species
GGGGCGUAAAGCGCGCGCAGGCGGUUUCUUAAGUCUGAUGUGAAAGCCCCCGGCUCAACCGGGGAGGGGCAUUGGAAACUGGGAGACUUGAGUGCAGAAGAGGAAAGUGGAAUUCCACGUGUAGCGGUGAAAUGCGUAGAGAUGUGGAGGAACACCAGUGGCGAAGGCGACUUUCUGGUCUGUAACUGACACUGAGGCGCGAAAGCGUGGGGAGCAAACAGGAUUAUAUACCCUGGUAGUCCACGCCGUAAACGAUGAGUGCUAAGUGUUAGAGGGUUUCCGCCCCUUAGUGCUGCAGCUAACGCAUUAAGCACUCCGCCGGGGGAGUACGGCCGCAAGACUGAAACUCAAAGGAAUUGACGGGGGCCCGCACAAGCGGUGGAACAUGUGUUUUAUUUCAAAACAACGCAAAAAACCUUAC